CCCUUGGUCUGGUCCUCUGUGGGUUCCCAGCUCUGUAAGUCCAUCCAUUCUGAUACUCUUUGGUCUUUAGACUGGUUUAUGUAACUUAAACAUAAACAUGAUGCUUUCUGUAGAACAAUAUGAAAAUACAUUUCUGUAAACAUAUUCCCUAUUUUUGUAAUAGUCUGUAACACUGCAGCCAACUUAUUACCUUACCCAUGCUGGACGGAUGCUGGCGAGAGAGCUGUCAGUGUUAAACACAGAGAUUUGCAAGAUUGAGCAGCACAUUUUCAUCUCUCGUGCUGGCAUGAUGGUAUUGGAUGAACUGUCCUCUCAGCUUGAAGAGGUAGCCAUUCAUCUGCAGUACGUGGAUGAGGAGGUUCGGCAGCAGCCCUGUCUGGCUUUA